rnacentral:rRNA from 1 species
GGAUGCGAUCAUACCAGCACUAAAGCACCGGAUCCAUCAGAACUCCGCAAUUAAGCGUGCUUGGGCGAGAGUAGUACUAGGAUGGGUGACCCCUGGGAAGUCCUCGUGUUGCAUCCC